AACGGCGGCCGUAACUAUAACGGUCCUAAGGUAGCGAAAUUCCUUGUCAGGUAAGUUCUGACCCGCAUGAAAGGCGUAAUGAUUUGGGCACUGUCUCGACAGCCCGCCCGGCGAAAUUGUAGUACCGGUGAAGAUGCCGGUUACCCGCGACAAGACGGAAAGACCCCAUGGAGCUUUACUGUAGCCUAAUAUUGGGUUUCGAUGUUGCAUGCACAGGAUAGAUGGGACACAGGGAAACAAGUGCUUUGGCAUUUGUGGAGUGGCCGUUGGGAUACCAUCCUUGCGAUAUUGGAAUUCUAACCUGCGCCUUUGAAUCAAGGCGGGGGACAUUGUUAGGUGGGCAGUUUGACUGGGGCGGUCGCCUCCUAAAGAGUAACGGAGGCGUUCAAAGGUUCGCUCAGCUUGAACGGAAAUCAAGCAAAAGAGUGCAAACGCAGAAGCGAGCCUAACUGCGAGACUGACGGGUCGAGCAGUAACGAAAGUUGGAGUUAGUGAUCCGGUGGUAUGUGAGUGGAAAUGCCAUCGCUCAACGGAUAAAAGUUACCCUGGGGAUAACAGGCUGAUCUCCCCCAAGAGUCCACAUCGACGGGGAGGUUUGGCACCUCGAUGUCGGCUCAUCGCAUCCUGGGGCUGUAUUCGGUCCCAAGGGUUUGGCUGUUCGCCAAUUAAAGCGGUACGCGAGCUGGGUUCAGAACGUCGUGAGACAGUUCGGUCCCUAUCUGUCGUGGGCGCAGGAUAUUUGAUGGGAGCUGUUCCUAGUACGAGAGGACCGGAGCGGACGUACCUCUGGCGCACCAGUUGUUCUGCCAAGGGCAUAGCUGGGCAACUAUGUACGGAUCGGAUAAACGCUGAAAGCAUCUAAGCGUGAAGCCGACCCAAAGAUAAGAUAUCCCAUUGUUUCAAACAAGUAAGACCCCUUGAAGACUACAAGGUUGAUAGGCACGAUGUGUAAGUGGAGUGAUCCAUUCAGCAAGCGUGUACUAAUAGGUCGAGGGCUUGACCAC
rnacentral:rRNA from 1 species